rnacentral:tRNA from 1 species
GCGCCAGUAGCUCAGUCGGAUAGAGCAACUGCCUUCUAAGCAGUUGGCCGGGGGUUCGAAUCCCUCCUGGCGCGCCA